GGACCCUGGAGAGAUUUAGAAGAAGAAUUGAGAGACUCAGACUUCACCAUAGUCGAUGUGGAAGGCGGCUUCCCCAAGAAGUUUCAGUGCAGGUCCAGGAGGCGAUAGCUGUGAGGCCAACACAGAUGAAAGUUCUGACCUCUUCUCAGAACAAAAAAAAACAGACCUGACCAGAGCGGUGGGGACUCAGAUAUGGAGGGUAAGUUAAGGACUGUACGAAAAUUAUUGGGUUAGGAAGGAUAUUUAAUUGUAUUAUGUUAUGAUGUAGAUACAGUCCAGAGCGCUGCUGUAGGCAAGUGAAAAGUGAUGCUCUCUCUGGAGAGAUGUCACCAAUAACUAUAGAGAUCCGUGUCUAAUCUGUUUCUAGAAUCUGACAUAUUAGUCAUACCAACUAGGAAAAUUACACCAUGAAGUGAGAGGUUUGCUGUCCUCUGUAUAUGGCCAAUGGCAUGUAGUUUGGCCAGCAUCCUCCUCUCUGACACCACCGACAGAGAGUCCAGCUCC